UACGAACGCUGGCGGCGUGCUUAACACAUGCAAGUCGAACGAAGUGGCGAACGGGUGAGUAACGCGUAAUCAACCUGCCCUUCAGAGGGGGACAACAGUUGGAAACGACUGCUAAUACCGCAUACUUAAGGAGGGGAUUGCGUCUGAUUAGUUAGUUGGAGGGGUACCUGCCCACCAAGGCGAGGAUCAGUAGCCGGUCUGACAUGAUGAACGGCAACAUUGGGACUGAGACAAGGCACAGACUGCUACGGGAGGCAGGAGUGGGGAAUCUGCCGCAAUGGACGAAAGUCUGACGGAGCAACGCCGCGUGAGGGAUGACGGCCUUCGGUUUGUAAAGCUCUGUUAAUCGGGACGCGGUACCGGAAUAGAAAGCCACGGCUAACUACGUGCCAGCAGCCGCGGUAAUUC
rnacentral:rRNA from 1 species